GCAAGGAGCCUGUUUCUCCUGCCUGUGUCUCUCAUGAAUAACGAAAUAAAUAUCUUAAAAAAAUAAAUUGAAAAAAUUAAGAAUUAAAAAAGUCAGUGGGAAAAGAGAGAAGAGAUUCCAAGCAAAUGGAGGAACAUGCUUGAUGGUCUGAGGGUGAUCAGAGGAACUUGGUGAUUGAAGAUGAACAAGAAUUGUGUGGUCAGUGUGCAUUCAUUUAUUCAUUCCAUAAGUGACUCUGGGUAUACAAAACUUAGCAAGCCAGUGUGGAAAAUAAAAAUCUUGAUGAAAUGUUUUUCAAACUUCCAUCUAAUGUAUUGAUACCUAGUUUUAAUGAUUGGACCCACUGCCAAAGACCUACGACUCCAUGGUGUCUCUAUUCUUCUGAACCCCACAAGAGAUCUUGGCUCUCAGGAAAAGAGACUCUAUGGUCUCUUGCAGACUUUCCAGAAAGGGUUAAUUGCACUGAAAUCGGUGCCUCAGGGCCAUAUCUAUUUUGCCAGCCACCUAUAUGACAGCUUUUGAUUCUGAGUUCUUCUUUCUCCUGAAGGAAUAAUGAAACAGCUCACUGGGAACCAUUCUCAUGCCUGGUAGAUAAAACUCAGAACCACUUACCAUUCUAUAUUGAGUGUUUAGAGAAAAAAUGGAUGCUUGAGGAGCAUGAAGCUUUGAAAAUUCUCAUAUGGAUUCCAAAUAGCCAAAACGUCCAUGUGCACAUGCAUUGGAGGUAUGUAUAGAUGAAGAAAUGCCAAGUUGAGUUUUAUCAGGAAAUAGCAUUGAGGCUAAGUGGAACACAUUCUU